AGCUUUGUGCAGUUACAGUAUCAUAGCCAAUGAGGUUUAUCCAAGGCAUGAUUAUUAUUAAUUGAAAAUAAGUAAAAUGGACAAUUCAGAGAUUUUUAGCAUAUGCAAAAAUUUGGGUAACCAUUUGCAUUG
rnacentral:snRNA from 1 species